rnacentral:lncRNA from 1 species
UGAUCCAUGAACCACAUCUCCCACUUCAAAGGUGGAGAGCACUAACAUGGCAAAUAAAUACUUGAUCAAAACCAAAACUAGUGCUCUUGUGUGAACAAUUCCUCCCAGCUAUAUUGAGAGCGGGAUCAGGACAUGGUCCAUUGAUAAAGUUGUAGCAAGAUAAGCAUGAAUUGGGACACACCAAAGUGCAAGGCAGCUUGACAUGAUGCAAAGUAGACCAGAUUUUUGCUGGCC